GAUGAACGCUGGCGGCGUGCUUAACACAUGCAAGUCAAACGGAAAGGCCUCUGCUUGCAGGGGUACUCGAGUGGAGAACGGGUGAGAAACACGUGGGUGAUCUGCCCUGCACUUCGGGAUAAGCCUGGGAAACUGGGUCUAAUACCGGAUAGGACGAUGGUUUGGAUGCCAUUGUGGAAAGUUUUUCGGUGUGGGAUGAGCUCGCGGCCUAUCAGCUUGAUGGUGGGGUAAUGGCCUACCAAGGCGUCGACGGGUAGCCGGCCUGAGAGGGUGUACGGCCACAUUGGGACUGAGAUACGGCCCAUACUCCUACGGGAGGCAGACAGUGGGGAAUAUUGCACAAUGGGCGCAAGCCUGAUGCAGCGACGCCGCGUGUAGGAUGACGGCCCUCGGGUUGUAAACUCCUUUCGCUAUCGACGAAGCGCAAGUGACGGUACCUGCAGAAGAAGCAGCGGCUAACUACGUGCCAUCAUCCGAGGUAAUACCUAGGGUGCGAGCGCUGUCCGGAAUUACUGUGCGUAAAGAGCUCGUAGUGGUUUGUCGCGUCGUUGUGUAAAGCCCGCAGCUUAACUGCGGGACUGCAUGCGAUACGGGCAUAACUUGAGUGCUGUAGGGGAGACUGGAAUUCCUGGUGUAGCGGUGGAAUGCGCAGAUAUCAGGAGGAACACCGAUGGCGAAGGCAGGUCUCUGGGCAGUAACUGACGCUGAGGAGCGAAAGCAUGGGGAGCGAACAGGAUUAGAUACCCUGGUAGUCCAUGCCGUAAACGGUGGGCGCUAGGUGCGAGUCCCUUCCACGGGGUUCGUGCCGUAGCUAACGCAUUAAGCGCCCCGCCUGGGGAGUACGGCCGCAAGGCUAAAACUCAAAGGAAUUGACGGGGGCCCGCACAAGCGGCGGAGCAUGUGGAUUAAUUCGAUGCAACGCGAAGAACCUUACCUGGGCUUGACAUACACCAGAUAGGGCCAGAGAUGGUCUUUCCCUUUGUGGUUGGUGUACAGGUGGUGCAUGGUUGUCGUCAGCUCGUGUCGUGAGAUGUUGGGUUAAGUCCCGCAACGAGCGCAACCCUUGUCUUAUGUUGCCAGCAAUUCGGUUGGGGACUCGUGAGAGACUGCCGGGGUUAACUCGGAGGAAGGUGGGGAUGACGUCAAAUCAUCAUGCCCCUUAUGUCCAGGGCUUCACACAUGCUACAAUGGUCGGUACAACGCGUCUGCGAGCCUGUGAGGGUGAGCUAAUCGCUGAAAGCCGGUCGUAGUUCGGAUUGGGGUCUGCAACUCGACCCCACGAAGUCGGAGUCGCUAGUAAUCGCAGAUCAGCAACGAUGCGGUGAAUACGUUCCCGGGCCU
rnacentral:rRNA from 1 species